UACGGAGGGUGCAAGCGUUAAUCGGAAUUACUGGGCGUAAAGCGCACGCAGGCGGUUGAUUGAGUCAGAUGUGAAAUCCCCGGGCUUAACCCGGGAAUUGCAUCUGAUACUGGUCAGCUAGAGUCUUGUAGAGGGGGGUAGAAUUCCAUGUGUAGCGGUGAAAUGCGUAGAGAUCUGGAGGAAUACCGGUGGCGAAGGCGGCCCCCUGGACGAAGACUGACGCUCAGGUGCGAAAGCGUGGGGAGCAAACAGG
rnacentral:rRNA from 1 species